AAUACCUAAUGGAAAAUAAACUUGGGGGAGCUGUUGUUUGGACUCUUGACCUGGAUGACUUUUCUGGAGAAUUCUGUGGUCAGGGGAGCUACCCUUUAAUAAGAUAUCUGAAAACUCAGCUAGAAAAUGGAGUGCAAUUAUCUUCUACGACUGAAGACCCUGCGAUCACCCACACUGUUAAAAACCUGACCAGCAUUCCACCUACCAUGACUGCCACCCCUUACAACAUCACACUCCCAGGCCAAACCUCCUCAACUGCCAUAAUAACCCAUUCAGUCGUGUGUGAACCCCUUACAGUUCCAGUCUCUUCAAACCACUUCUGCAGUGACAAACCUGAUGGAUACUAUCUAGAAUCAGGCAACCCAGCCUCCAUGUUCCAGUGUUCUGAUGGCAUCACACAUAUAGCAUGGUGCCCAGAUAACACGGUUCAUAAUAAAGCAGGGCAAAUGAAUCCCUCAAGGAAACUAACCAUCAUCAUGGUGGGAAUUUCAUCCCUACUCAUAAGUGCCUGGGCAAACACAUGAUUCUCAGUGGAUUAAGAUGUUGGUCUUAUAAUGUUUGUGAUGUCAAGGUUUCAAGAGCUUUCAUGGAGUUCUCCACAAUAACUGGGUACACCCAUAGAUCUCUAAGAAACAGCUGCAGGUGUAUCUAAUGUAACUGGCUACCGGACUUUGCUUAUUGUAAUUAAAGUAAUGAAACUACACAGCGAUUGUCUGUCUUUGUGAAUAUGUUGGCCUAAUUGGGCCUAUAUUCCUCACUGCUAUUUACUGAUACCAUUACCAGUGUGAUGGAAUCUUGUUCAAGUCUUGGUUGGACAUUUUGAAUUAAUGAAUGAACAUUUUUUUGUCAACUGUGUGUUGAAACGGUAACACUUACAGAUCUGUAAGAAGUGGGUCAAAUCAUGGUGACAACUCAUAAUAACCCACAAAUUACUUAAUAGUUUCCAAGUUGUUUGCAAAGGCCGUUAAAUCAAUCAACCUUUUGCUACUUGGGGCACUUCGCACAUUCUGUUUGGACCCCAAUGACUAUAUUUAAACUUGUUAUCAUGAUAGUGUAUAUGUUUCCUGUUAUGAAUGUCGAUACUUGUAGACCUUUAGCAUUUACUCUACUUUUAAUAUUGUUUUGAAGCAUAUUCUUGCCUUCAACUAAUAAUCCUAAAUUUUUAUUUAUGCAUAUUUUUCAAAACUUUGUAAAUAAAUGCCAAGCACAGUUUCACAAUGAAA